AUGCCCACUUCGGCAGCAUAUAUACUAAAAUUAGAACAAUACAGAGAAGAUUAGCGUGGUCCCUGCACAAGGAUGACACACAAAUUCGUGAAGUGUUCCAUAUUUUU
rnacentral:snRNA from 1 species